GCAGGGUGUCAGGAGAGAUCAUGGGAGCUUCAUGUACUUGCCCUGACACUUUGUUUUAUGACCCAGUCCUGUGUAUGCUUUGAAAAACUAAACUAGAAAUAGUGUUCCUCUAAUUUUUCUGAGCUGCUCUAGUGAGUUUGUGGAACAUGAAGAUGGGGUCAUGGGAACUUUUUGCGAAUUUGUCAGAAGCACAGGUCACAGACUGGAGGUCUGAGUGACAUCUGAUGUAGGGGACAGACUCCUGGGACUGACCUGAUAAACUAUGCCUGAGCAGUUAUGGUCACCAGGACAUGGAGAAGAUAAUGGUCAAUAUUUGAAGAAACCUGUGCAUCUGACAGAUAGCACUCAUCCAGUGGCUGAUGAAAGCAGAGACAGACAUCCACAGAUAUACACUGAGCUGAAAUCUGAAAUUUAGUUGAAGAGAGGGAGGAAUGAAGAUCGAAGGGGGUCUGUACCAGGUUGGAGAAACUCACAGAAACAGUUGGCCUGAACAAGGGGGAGAACAUUGACCCCAGAGUUGGCCUGAACAAGGGGG
rnacentral:lncRNA from 1 species